CCAACAAAUACUCUCUCCAGAAGUUUUUAUCGCACUCCCACUUCUGCAAAAAAGCGUCGAGAGAUGCCACUGAAUCUAUCGCCACACUCUCUGCAACUCACCACUCUCAAAUCUUCUUCCUUCACCCAGCACUUUUCGCAAAUUCUCAAUCCUACUCUUCUAUGGAGUCAGCAGAAACAUCUCCGCCGUACCCACAUCUCAUGCGUCUCGACGCGACCCAAGAAGAAAGCGGUUCCCAUCAGCGAGAAAUCGGAGGCCGAAGAGUUGGUUCGGGUUCUCAUGAGGAGUUUCACUGAUAAAGUGCCGUUGGUGCGGACAAUGGAUAAGUAUGUGAGAAUAUUAAGGACUGAACAUUGUUUUUUGCUUUUUGAAGAGCUUGGCAAGCGUGACAAAUGGCUUCAGUGCCUUGAGGUGUUCAGAUGGAUGCAGAAACAACGUUGGUAUAUACCUGAUAGUGGUGUUUAUUCGAAGUUGAUAUCAGUUAUGGGGAAGAAAGGUCAAACUCGGAUGGCUAUGUGGCUUUUCUCUGAGAUGCGUAAUAGUGGGUGCCGGCCAGACACUUCAGUUUAUAAUGCACUGAUCACUGCCCACCUCCACUCCAAGGAUAAAGCAAAGGCUUUGUCCAAAGCUCUUAGUUACUUUGAGAAAAUGAAAGGUAUGGAACGAUGUCAGCCUAAUGUCGUGACUUACAAUAUUCUUUUGAGAGCUUUUGCUCAAGCUCAAAAUGUGAAUCAAGUUAAUGCUUUGUUUAAAGAUCUUGACCAAAGUAUUGUUUCCCCUGAUAUAUAUACUUUUAAUGGUAUGAUGGAUGCCUAUGGCAAAAAUGGAAUGAUAAGAGAAAUGGAAUCUGUACUUUCUCGGAUGAAAAGUAAUCAAUGUAAACCUGAUAUUAUUACAUUUAAUUUGCUGAUUGACUCUUAUGGAAAGAAACAAGAUUUUGAUAAGAUGGAGCAGGUUUUUAAGAGCCUGUUGCAUUCCAAAGAGAAACCAACUUUGCCUACUUUCAAUUCCAUGAUAAUGAACUAUGGGAAGGCACGGCAGAAAGAGAAAGCAGAGGGUGUUUUUCAAAAGAUGACCAAAAUGAAAUACACACCAAGUUUCAUCACAUAUGAGAGUCUUAUCAUGAUGUAUGGAUUUUGUGACUCUGUUUCAAAUGCUAGGGAUAUUUUUGAUGAUAUGGUUGAAUCUGGAAAGGAGAUCAAAGUUUCAACCUUAAAUGCCAUGCUUGAUGUUUACUGUAUGAAUGGUUUGCCAAUGGAAGCAGAUUUACUAUUUGACAGUGCUCGAAGUUUUGGGGUGCUACCUGAUUCAUCAACAUAUAAACUCCUUUAUAAGGCUUACACUAAAGCCAACAUGAAGGAGCUCGUUCAGAAACUGCUAAAACAUAUGGAUAGAGAUGGUAUUGUCCCCAAUAAGAGGUUCUUCCUGGAAGCUUUGGGAGCUUUUAAGUCUAUACCAGCAACUUCAAAUUCUGCCACUCUUGCCACUGGUUCAGGAAGUCAACAGAGUUAUGCUAAGACUUAGGUGGAAUUAUUGUUUUCUGUAUUCUUCUGUUCUUUUCCUAUUUAAGUGACAUUCAAUGUAAAGCUUGCAGUUUGCAAAGGAAUAGUUGGCUGGUUCACCAUCUAAUUAGUGGGUCCUUGUGUGACGUGGAGUCAUGUAGCCUCGGCAAGAACCAGACUAGGACAUUCAACCCAGCAAAUGCUGAGUAGGUUAGUGGUUCAGAAAGGGAGAUCUUCCAACUUUUUGCAGUAUGGUUUACGUUUUUGUACUGGCAAUAUUGCUACUCCAAGAAGGUUGAAAGAAUACCUUUGCUUAAACAUAUGUUGUAAAAGAUGAAAUUGACAGAAUUUUGUUAUCCUUUGGAUCAAACAUGGGUAGAUUUACAUAUCAAAUUGUAUCUAUGAAACAAUAGUAUUACCUCAUCAUUUUAACAUUCAAAAAUAAGUCAUUGUUUAGUUA